rnacentral:rRNA from 1 species
CCUACGGGAGGCAGCAGUGGGGAAUAUUGCACAAUGGAGGAAACUCUGAUGCAGCAACGCCGCGUGGAGGAUGACGCAUUUCGGUGUGUAAACUCCUUUUAUAGGGGAAGAUAAUGACGGUACCCUAUGAAUAAGCACCGGCUAACUCCGUGCCAGCAGCCGCGGUAAUACGGAGGGUGCAAGCGUUACUCGGAAUCACUGGGCGUAAAGGAUGCGUAGGCUGGAAAUCAAGUCGAAAGUGAAAUCCAACGGCUCAACCGUUGAACUGCUUUCGAAACUGGUUACCUAGAAUAUGGGAGAGGUAGAUGGAAUUAGUGGUGUAGGGGUAAAAUCCGUAGAUAUCACUAGGAAUACCGAUUGCGAAGGCGAUCUACUGGAACAUUAUUGACGCUGAGGCAUGAAAGCGUGGGGAGCAAACAGGAUUAGAUACCCCAGUAGUC